UACGGGGGGAGCAAGCGUUGUUCGGAUUUACUGGGCGUAAAGGGCGCGUAGGCGGUCGUGACAAGUCACUUGUGAAAUCUCCGGGCUUAACUCGGAAAGGUCAAGUGAUACUGUCGGACUAGAGUACAGAAGGGGCAACUGGAAUUCUCGGUGUAGCGGUGAAAUGCGUAGAUAUCGAGAGGAACACCUGCGGCGAAGGCGGGUUGCUGGGCUGAUACUGACGCUGAGGCGCGGAAGCUAGGGGAGCGAACGGG
rnacentral:rRNA from 1 species